UUGAUCUCUCUCGGCAGCAUCAUUGAUCUCACUUUAUGUCCAAUCAGGAUCUUGUACGAUCUUGUCAUCAUGUUCAAUCUCGAUCACACCACUAGUUUUUCUUGUUCGCCUUUGUGGUCAAUCUCAACUUUGCCAAUGGUGAUUGACGAAAGAGAGAUCUGAGGAAGCAAAACGAAGAGGAGGAACAAGAUAACCAAAUUUGUGAAUAAGAUGCUCGGAAACUAUAUGACCAUCUAUAACCAAAAAGUUAAUCUUUUGGUGGCACGGUUGGAGUGGUGAUUGGGAAGCAUCUGGCUAAAAUAUAUAGGGAGGAGUAUCCAUCUUGACUGAGGAUUAAUAUAGGAAAAAGCAAUCUUCAUGGUCAAGUUAUGUGUGGUGGUGAAGAUGGUGAUAUAUGGAGUGUUUUGAUAUGCAAGAAAGAUCUUGAAUUGGUAGAAUUGUUGCUACUAGACCAACUGUGGUUGAACAGGUAGCAGUUUCUCUCUUUUAUUAUCGCCCAUGCAAGUUCAAAGAAAGAUGAAUGUUCCAAGAUACAAUAAAAUACUUUGUUUUAUAAUUUCAAAUGUGCUGAUAAAAAGUGUUUAUAAGUCAAAUAUUGUGUUUGUGCUGAUGAGGUUCAAGUUUGCCUUCCCACCAAAAUUCAUCAAUUCUUAGACUUUCAUACAUAUAGAUUGUUGCAUGAAUCAACAUGAUUCUUCUAAGUUUCCUAUGAUUUUCAUUUCUUUGUUUAUUUUGACAUUGCCAUUAUUAAUUCCUAAUUUCUUUUUGCAAUCACAUCUUUGAUGAUGUUCUUCAAUAAAAUAAUCUAAAUUGUGGAAAAAUGAUAUGUGAUGCUAACAUAUUGUCAUCAAAUCAACCUGAAAAUAACAACAAUCUAGAUGAUGAAAACUUUGGCCUUGAAGUUUUGAAUAGGAAUAAAUUAUCAUAAUCUAUGAUUUCUUUCCAAGAAGUUACAAGUAUUGAGAGUUUCAGCAUUAUGGUUAAUGGCUGGUUGUUUGACUCAAAACUACUCACUUCAAUGCCAAGCACUAUGAACUCUAUUGUAGUCAAAUAAUGCCUCAUUAUGAGAACCUUUUGAACAUCAAAACUGUCAAUUCAUUGUUGCAGUCAUUUGUGAGACCAUUAAUAUUACUAAUGCCAUUAAUGCUUGCAAGAUCACGAACCCUUUAGUAAAUUUUAGUGUGUGGUAUAAAAGAUUGAAAGGCCUUGAAUGGCUCGGCUUGAAUAUUCAUUUCUUGCAUGAUGGGUUAGAACAACUCAGAGGUUAUGAAUGAGCAUUGCUAGUGCCUAGGUGAGCCUUGUUCAUGAGACAAGAGCCAUUCUAACCUAUCAAGAAUGAAUUGAACAUUCAUGUUAAGCCAUUCAAGACCUUUCAAACUUUAAUUCCACACCAAAAUUUACUGAAGGGGUUGUGAUCUAUUAGGCUUUAAUGGCAUCAAUAAUAUUAACGGUGUCACAAAUGAUUCCAACAACUGAUUGAUGAUUUGAUGUUCAAUAAUAUUCUCAUAAGAAAACAUUCUAUGACUACAAUAGAGUUCAUAGUAAAUUUGCCUUGAGUUGGUUAGGUAGUUUUGAGUCAAGUCAAGUACCAAACCAUUAACCACAAUGCUGAAAUUCUCAAUACUUGUGACUUCUAGGAAAGUGAUAAGAGAUUCUAAUAAUCUAUUCCCAUUCAAAAUUUAAAGGCUAACAUUUUCAUCAUCUAGAUAGUUGUUAUUUUCAUGUUGAUUUGAUGAUGGUAUGCUAGCAUCACAUAUCAUUUUUCCAACAUUUGGAUUACUUUUUUGAGGAACAUCUUCAAAAUGAGAUUGCAAAAUGAAAUUAGGAAUCAAAUAUAGGAAUGUCAAAAUAAACAAAGAAAUGAGAAUCAUAGGAAACUUUGAAUCGUGUUGAUUCAUGCAACCAUCUAAAUGUAGAUGUUUGAGAAUUGAUGAUCUUUGGUAGGAAAGCAAAUUUGAACCUCACUAACACAAACAUGAUAUUUGACUUUUAAAGAGUACUUUUCAUCAUCACAUUUGGAAUUAUAAAAUAAAGCAUAUUAUUGUAUCCAUUAAUAUUCAUCUUUCUUAAACUUGUUUAGGGAACAACAAAAGAGAGAAACCACUACCUAGUCAACAUCACUACUUGGUCGUACUUGAUCGUUGUCCAGCCGUCAUCGUCCAUGCCUUCUAGGCCAAUCAACGCUCGUAGUCAUUGUUAUCAUACCAUUAUUGUUCAGCCUUCAGCGACUCCAGAUCUGUUCUUGUUGCAACUUCAAUUCAAGCCCGUCAUCCCUGUGUAAGGAUGACUACUUCUCGUUCAGAUUGCAUAUUCACAUAGGAGUCUCAUCAAUCAUCUUCGAGUCCCAUCUUUGCUAUGGUUUGAAAGUUCUUUAAGGAUGCAAAAAAGAUAAAUUCUCAAGAAGCUCUAACUCAUUGAUAUGGAAGCUAGGUUGAUACAUGAUUUAUAGAAUAAGUACUUGACUUCCUUGAACUGAUUUUACUGUGAAAGUCUUGCAUGCAAGAAAUAAGCUCUAACUCCUUAUUUAGGAACAAAACCUUGGGAUUCUUUCCCAUAUUGUGCUUUGUGCAUAAAAAGAGAACAAGAAUGUUGAGUUUCACUUGUAGACAUCUUGAUGUAAAACAAGAAGGGGCAAGGGGAACAAAGAGAAGAGAGGUAAAGCGAAAAGAGGGGAAAGGUUGAAACUCUUUGAAACUCUUAUUCAAUAAUACU